rnacentral:sRNA from 1 species
UUUCUUCUUCUUCUUCCUCUUCUUAUUCUUCCA